rnacentral:rRNA from 1 species
UACGUAGGGUGCGAGCGUUAAUCGGAAUUACUGGGCGUAAAGCGUGCGCAGGCGGUUAUGUAAGACAGUUGUGAAAUCCCCGGGCUCAACCUGGGAAUUGCAUCUGUGACUGCAUAGCUAGAGUACGGUAGAGGGGGAUGGAAUUCCGCGUGUAGCAGUGAAAUGCGUAGAUAUGCGGAGGAACACCGAUGGCGAAGGCAAUCCCCUGGACCUGUACUGACGCUCAUGCACGAAAGCGUGGGGGAGCAAACGAGG